rnacentral:RNase_P_RNA from 2 species
UCGGCCAGGCGAUCGCGCCCCGCACAUGCGCGGGGGGAGGAAAGUCCGGGCUCCACAGGGCACGGUGCUGGGUAACACCCAGGUCGGGGUGACCCGACGGAAAAGGGCCACAGAAAAGCAGACCGCCCGAUUGGGUUUACCAAUCGGGUAAGGGUGAAAAGGUGGUGUAAGAGACCACCGGCGUCCGUGGCGACACGGGCGGCCAGGCAACCCCCACCGGGAGCAAGGCCAAGCAGAAGCGAGGGACGGCCCGUCCCAUUCGAGCUUCGGGUAGGCCGCAAGACCUCCGAGGUUUACAGAUUUGUAUCCUCCAGAAAACUGUUGGGGGUGUAAAACUCGCUUUCCAGAUCAAAUAUGCUGCCCAAACCU